rnacentral:tRNA from 1 species
AGCAGCGUGGCGCAGUGGAAGCAUGCUGGGCCCAUAACCCAGAGGUCCCUGGAUCGAAACCAGGCGCUACUA